rnacentral:rRNA from 1 species
GACGAACCGUGCGAACGUUAUUCGGAAUCACUGGGCUUAAAGCGCGUGUAGGCGGGUCGGCACGUCGGUCGCUGAAAUCCCCCGGCUCAACCGGGGAAGGGGCGCCGAUACGACCGACCUGGAGGAACGUAGGGGGAGCUGGAACUUCCGGUGGAGCGGUGAAAUGCGUUGAGAUCGGAAAGAACACCAACGGCGAAAGCACUCUGCUGGGCCGACACUGACACUGAGAGACGAAAGCUAGGGGAGCAAAUGGG